GCCUAACACAUGCAAGUCGAACGGGAAUCUUCGGAUUCUAGUGGCGGACGGGUGAGUAACGCGUAAGAAUCUAACUUCAGGACGGGGACAACAGUUGGAAACGACUGCUAAUACCCGAUGUGCCGAAAGGUGAAACCUAAUUGGCCUGAAGAAGAGCUUGCGUCUGAUUAGCUAGUUGGUGGGGUAAAGGCCUACCAAGGCGACGAUCAGUAGCUGGUCUGAGAGGAUGAGCAGCCACACUGGGACUGAGACACGGCCCAGACUCCUACGGGAGGCAGCAGUGGGGAAUUUUCCGCAAUGGGCGAAAGCCUGACGGAGCAACGCCGCGUGAGGGAGGAAGGUCUUUGGAUUGUAAACCUCUUUUCUCAAGGAAGAAGUUCUGACGGUACUUGAGGAAUCAGCCUCGGCUAACUCCGUGCCAGCAGCCGCGGUAAUACGGGGGAGGCAAGCGUUAUCCGGAAUUAUUGGGCGUAAAGCGUCCGCAGGUGGUCAGCCAAGUCUGCCGUCAAAUCAGGUUGCUUAACGACCUAAAGGCGGUGGAAACUGGCAGACUAGAGAGCAGUAGGGGUAGCAGGAAUUCCCAGUGUAGCGGUGAAAUGCGUAGAGAUUGGGAAGAACAUCGGUGGCGAAAGCGUGCUACUGGGCUGUAUCUGACACUCAGGGACGAAAGCUAGGGGAGCGAAAGGGAUUAGAUACCCCUGUAGUCCUAGCCGUAAACGAUGGAUACUAGGCGUGGCUUGUAUCGACCCGAGCCGUGCCGAAGCUAACGCGUUAAGUAUC
rnacentral:rRNA from 1 species